UGGGGAAUUUUGGACAAUGGGCGCAAGCCUGAUCCAGCCAUGCCGCGUGCGGGAAGAAGGCCUCGGGUUGUAAACCGCUUUGUCAGGGAAGAAAUCUUCUGAGUUAAUACCUCGGGAGGAUGACGGUACCUGAAGAAUAAGCACCGGCUAACUACGUGCCAGCAGCCGCGGUAAUACGUAGGGUGCAAGCGUUAAUCGGAAUUACUGGGCGUAAAGCGUGCGCAGGCGGUUUUGUAAGACAGAGGUGAAAUCCCCGGGCUCAACCUGGGAACUGCCUUCGUGACUGCAAGGCUUGAGUGCGGCAGAGGGGGGAUGGAAUUCCGCGUGUAGCAGUGAAAUGCGUAGAUAUGCGGAGGAACACCGAUGGCGAAGGCCAAAUCCCCCUGGGGCCUGCACUGACGCUCAUGCACGAAAGCGUGGGGAGCAAAACAGGAUUAGAUACCCCUGGUAGUCCNCGCCCUAAAACGAUGUCAACUGGUUGUU
rnacentral:rRNA from 1 species